GAUCAAAUCUACACAACUGUUCAAUAGACCGAUAGAUCAAAUCUACACAACUGUUCAAUAGACCGAUAGAUCAAAUCAACACAACUGUUCAACAGACCGAUAAAUAUUCAAUAGCAUGGACGAGAUCAUAACCUCGCUGGGUGUGGGACCAUCAACCUACUUGAUCUUUACUGUCGCAUCACUAGGACCGAUGUCGCAUGUGAUCAAUCUCCUGGGAUCCCAGUUCAUAGCUCCACCUGUGCAGUUUACUUGUAUCAAUACACAUCAACCGGACGUCAUUGCAACAAAUUCUUCGGAAUGCGGUGAGGUGCCGGCAGGAGCUGAGUCCAAUGACUCGCGGAGCUGCGAUCUGUAUCAAUUUUCGCAUGAAAUUUAUCAUUUCACCCUGACUGAAGAGGCAAGUGAACUCAUGAUCGCAAGUCAAAGAUCAGAAUUCAAUAUUAGUGUUCGUUAGGAGGUCGAAAAGGAUGAACUUCACCACUGGAGAAAUUGGCUCAAAAUAAAUUCAGGUUCCAACCGCAUUUAAUAAUUCAUCAAG